GGUGUCAUAGAAUAUCUCAGUCUUUGUAAAAGUUGAAGGAAUUCCAGCGAGCUUAAUGCUGGCAAUGCCCUCUAUGGAGUUAACCACUCGCAUCCAAGAUUUAUGUCGGACUGCUUUCGAGGUGAUGCACCACCUCGACCGUGGGCUGAUUUUUGAGGAUUUUUCUGAUUGGUGUAAUUUAUUCUGUGACGAGCUAUAUAACCAGUAGCCCCCUAGACUUUCGUUGGGCAACAUGGCCGAUCCUAGGAUCGUAUCUCCUCGGGAACUAGUUCAUCCAUUGAGUUUUUUACAACACCGAGGUGCAGGUCCAUGGGGAAGGUGCUGAAUUGCUGGUCGG
rnacentral:lncRNA from 1 species